CAAAUUGUCCUUUCCUAGCCACUCAAGGGCAUAUUCUUAUUUAUUAUCAAAGCAGUUACCACUUAAUUGGUAUCAAAUUCUGAUUUGCAAAAAUAACACUC